rnacentral:tRNA from 1 species
GGCCCGUUGGUCAAGCGGUUAAGACACCGCCCUUUCACGGCGGUAACACGGGUUCGAGUCCCGUACGGGUAG